GAGCUGUGAAGAGACUUGGGUUUGACGUGAUGGUAGGGUCCAUCACCAACGUCUGAUUCUUCGGACGAAAUAAAAUCCACCUGAGCUC